UUGAGAUCUGCUUAUUCCACACUGGUUAUUUCAUUGAGUCUCAUAACACCCCUGUAUAUAAGGAUCACUCAGCAGGGAGGAUGUGGGCCUGGAGCUUCUAGGGACCACCAUGUGGAGGGCACCCAUGAGAGAGAAGGCAGCACGGAGGUUGUGAUAUAGAAAGUAUUGCUGACUUUAUUUUUGGAUGAGGAAACUGCGACUUGGAGCCACGAGAUGACUCGCCCCGGCCUUUGGUGAGCGGCAACUAGUUCCGAAAGGGGCCUCCCCCGUUCCUGAGCCAUGGAUGGGCCUGGCCAACUGAAGCAGAGGUGAUGCGACCUUGUAGCUGAGGGCUGAUGCCCAACCAGGCACCGAGCGGGAGACUUGAGAAACCUCAGCAACAGCAGACAUGAAGAAGAAAGCCUUGAAGCUGCGGGGAAACCGCAGCGCUCCUGCUUGCUCUUUGCCACCGGGGCAGGUGGGAGGGGGGCGGGCCGAAGCAUCAGCCAGCCCCAGCUCCGUCCAAACCUGUUCUCCUCUCCCCUGUUGCCCAGUCACUUUAGUGGGCUCCCACCCACCCCUCACCGGCCCUGUGGGCCCACCCAGAGGCAAGUGAUGGGGAAGAACACCAUGACCACCGUCAUAAAAUGGCUGGGACUCAAGUCUUCAACUGACUAAAAAUUUCCAGUUUGGACUGAAUUUCCCUGAACGUGUCUCAAUUAUAUUGUCAGAGGCGGUGAGGAGAAAGAGUCAAGAAAAUUGUGUUUGGUCAAAAAAUACACUUAUCCUGUUUCUUCUCCUCCUGGGUUCUGUAGACAGUCCUACUUGCUCCGUGCACAAGCACCUUGUUCACGACCCUGAGGUGACCACAGCAGGAAGAGAGCACUGGCCAAAUGUUGACAGGAAGGCUGACACUUGAAGGGAUUGCAGCGGCUUAUUUGCAUUUCAACCACACUCUUACAGCAUUGACUGUGGGCCAGCCCUGUCUUAAGUGCCUGAUAAAUAUCAGUUCAAUUAAUCCUC
rnacentral:lncRNA from 1 species